AUUGAACGCUGGCGGCAUGCCUUACACAUGCAAGUCGAACGGUAACAGGUCUUCGGAUGCUGACGAGUGGCGAACGGGUGAGUAAUACAUCGGAACGUGCCCGAUCGUGGGGGAUAACGGAGCGAAAGCUUUGCUAAUACCGCAUACGAUCUACGGAUGAAAGCAGGGGACCGCAAGGCCUUGCGCGGACGGAGCGGCCGAUGGCAGAUUAGGUAGUUGGUGGGAUAAAAGCUUACCAAGCCGACGAUCUGUAGCUGGUCUGAGAGGACGACCAGCCACACUGGGACUGAGACACGGCCCAGACUCCUACGGGAGGCAGCAGUGGGGAAUUUUGGACAACGGGCGAAAGCCUGAUCCAGCCAUGCCGCGUGCAGGAUGAAGGCCUUCGGGUUGUAAACUGCUUUUGUACGGAACGAAAAGACUCUUUCUAAUAAAGAGGGUCCAUGACGGUACCGUAAGAAUAAGCACCGGCUAACUACGUG
rnacentral:rRNA from 1 species